GAUGAACGCUGGCGGCGUGCUUAACACAUGCAAGUCGAACGGACAGUCCACAGCUUGCUGUGGUACUCGAGUUGCGAACUGGUGAGUAACCCGUGGGUGCUCUGCCCUUUACUUCGGGUUAUGCUUGGGCAACUUGUUCUCUUACCGGGUAGGAUUUACCUCUUUUUGUGUGGUUGGAAAGCUUUUGCGUUUUGGGAUGAGCUCGAGGCCUAUCAGCUUGUUGGUGGGGUAAUGGCCUACCACGGCGUCGACGGGUAUCCGGCCUGAGAGGGAGUACGGCGACAGUGGGACUGAGAUACGGACCAGACUCCAACGGGAGGGAGAAGUGGGGAAGAGUGCACAAGGGGAGCAAGCCAGAGGCAGAGACGCCGCGUGGGGGAUAACGGCCAUCGGGUUGGAAACGCCAAACGUUAGGGACGAAGAGAAAGAGACGGUAACUGGAAAAGAAGGACCGGCUAACUACGUG
rnacentral:rRNA from 1 species